UCUUUGCUAGUAUAUCGGUUAGUACACGCGCCUGUCAUAUCACGUGGUACGCGCGAAAGCUGGGUUCGACUCCCAGGCAGAGAG